GUAAGGGGGGCUGUGGCUCCUGUGGAGGCUCCAAGGGCAGCUGUGGCUCUUGCGGGGGCUAUAAGGGGGGCUGUGGCUCUUGCGGGGGCUGUGGCUCCUGUGGGGGCUCCAAGGGGGGCUGUGGUUCUUGUGGCUGCUCCCAGUCCAGCUGCUGCAAGCCCUGCUGCUGCUCCUCAGGCUGUGGGUCAUCCUGCUGCCAGUCCAGCUGCUGUAAGCCCUGCUGUUCCCAAUCCAGCUGCUGUAAGCCCUGCUGCUGUUCCUCAGGCUGUGGGUCAUCCUGCUGCCAGUCCAGCUGCUGCAAACCCUGCUGUUCCCAGUCCAGCUGCUGUGUCCCCGUGUGCUACCAGUGCAAGAUCUGAGGCUCUGCCCACAAACCUCAGCUGGUCCUACAGAUCUGGGCCUCCAGGAAUGACUGCAGCUGUGGCCUGAAUUCCUGAAGCAUGUCUCUGAGCCUGUCCUCCUCUGGACUAAGGCAGCCUAGUGUUCAGGGCUCAGUACUCAGCCGCUCAGCCUCUGAGGUCAUGAGGGCUUCCGGCGUGCUGGAUCCUGCCCAUCAAUUCUCCCGGAAUCCCCUUUUCCUUUCCUGACCUCACCACUUCAACCUUCUCAGGGCUUCAAGAUCCCACAUCCCUGGGCCCCUCCUGUGAGCCUGCUGGAAACACGCUGAAACUGGAAUCCUCUGACCUGCUGCCACCUAUCCCGGGUCCCUGUAACCUCCUGUCUCCUCCACCCUUCGUCUUCAUCCUGCCUGAGCUACCAGAGCUCCGAUUGCUUUUGGAGUUGAUCUGGAGGACUCAGAAUUAUUAGAGAUCCCAGGAUCCUCUCCUGAGGAGGAGGGGUGUCCAGUCUCCUCUUCUACCUCCGACCUGGCCUGGUUUCUUUGCCCCAGGGCUUCGCCUUGUAAGUACCCGGGCUGGAUCUUCUAAAUAAAUACGAUCCGUACCUCC